AUGAAUGAAAGAAGGGAAAUAGAUGAAGUAUUCUUUAAUCAAGGACCUAUUUUGAAACACAAUUUUCCUGUUGAAAUCCUUGGGGAUCCUCCUCCACCCAAGGGUGAUCCUGUGUUUGAGCUUAAACAAUUACCUGAUACUCUAAAAUAUGCUUAUCUUGAUGAAAAGAAUAUAUAUCCUAUUAUUAUUAGUGCUAACCUUUCAGAGCAUGAAGAAAAGAAAUUAUUUAAAACUCUGAAGAAGCACCGUGCUGCUAUUGGAUAUACUCUUGAUGAUCUUAAGGGCAUUAGUCCCACUCUAUGUCAGCACAAAAUUAAGUUGGAGAAAGAUGCUAAACCAGUGGUAGAUCAUCAACGACGGUUAAAUCCUAAGAUGAAAGAAGUGAUAAGAAAUGAAAUACUAAAGCUUCUAGAGGCAGGUACAAUUUAUCACAUUGUUGAUAGUCAGUGGGUAAGUCCUGUUCAUUGUGUCCCUAAGAAGGGACGUAUUACUGUUGUUCCUAAUGAUAAAAAUGAAUUGAUUCCACAAAGAAUUGUUACAGGUUAUAAAAUGGUAAUUGCUUUAAAUAAAGCUACUAGAAAAGAUCAUUACCCUCUACCUUUUAUUGAUCAAAUGCUAGAAAGAAUAUCCAAACAUACUCAUUUUUGCUUUCUAGAUGGUUAUUCUAGUUUCUCACAAAUACAUAUGUCAAAAGAGGAUGAAGAGAAAAAUACUUUUACUUGCCCUUUUGGUACCUUCACUUAUAGACGUAUGCCUUUUGGUUUAUGUAAUGCACCUGCUACCUUUCAAUGA
rnacentral:rRNA from 1 species